rnacentral:rRNA from 1 species
GAGAGUUUGAUCCUGGCUCAGGACGAACGCUGGCGGCGUGCCUAACACAUGCAAGUCGAGCGAGGAGAUUCCCUUCGGGGAUGAACCUAGCGGCGGACGGGUGAGUAACACGUGGGCAACCUGCCUUAUAGAGGGGAAUAGCCUUCCGAAAGGAAGAUUAAUACCGCAUAACAUUACAUUUUCGCAUGAAAAAGUAAUUAAAGGAGUAAUCCGCUAUAAGAUGGGCCCGCGGCGCAUUAGCUAGUUGGUGAGGUAACGGCUCACCAAGGCGACGAUGCGUAGCCGACCUGAGAGGGUGAUCGGCCACAUUGGGACUGAGACACGGCCCAGACUCCUACGGGAGGCAGCAGCGGGGAAUAUUGCACAAUGGGGGAAACCCUGAUGCAGCAACGCCGCGUGAGUGAUGAAGGUCUUCGGAUCGUAAAGCUCUGUCUUCAGGGACGAUAAUGACGGUACCUGAGGAGGAAGCCACGGCUAACUACGUGCCAGC